UAAAGUUUUUUUUUUUUAAACCAUGUAAGCCUUGUCAUACAUUUUAAGACUAUUUUACUAAAUCUGCCAAAUUUGUGAACACUACUAUUCCAUGUUUGUGCAUUGGCUUUAUAUGAGCGCUGUUAGCUUGGAACUGUUUUUGUUUUUGACCGCAGAAGGUCGUCUAUUUUUUAAUGCGAACUUCGCCUUGCGUUCGAGUGCAUUCCGCUGUAAUCCCCCGGAACGAGGCUCGCCCACACGAAGUACCCGUAGCUCUACACGGGCAAAGCAGACGCGGGGGUGGACUUUUUGACGAGGUCAGAGGUCGGGGGUGCAGACGUCCCCUUGCGUGUUUAUUUGGCAGCCAACACACUUCUGUUGUCCCGAUGAAUGUCAUGGAUAUAAUUGGGCGCACAAUGCGAAGUCCAAGUCAGCUGCUCCAUGUUUACAAAUGGCAAUUCAACAGACAGAAUAUAGCAAAAUUUAUGGCACACGAUGUAUGAAUUUUAAAAGAUAUUACAUAUAUUUUCAAAAGAUAA